rnacentral:rRNA from 1 species
AGAGUUUGAUCAUGGCUCAGAACGAACGCUGGCGGCGUGCCUAACACAUGCAAGUCGAGCGCGAAAGGGGGGGCAACUCCCCGAGUAGAGCGGCGCACGGGUGAGUAACGCGUGGGUAACCUACCUCCGGGCGGGGGAUAACCACUCGAAAGGGUGGCUAAUACCGCAUGAGACCACGGGGUCCUCGGAUCCUGGGGUUAAAGGCGGCACCGGCUUGCCGGUGCUGUCGCCUGAUGAUGGGCCCGCGUACGAUUAGCUAGUUGGUAGGGUAAUGGCCUACCAAGGCUGCGAUCGUUAGCUGGUCUGAGAGGAUGACCAGCCACACUGGAACUGGAACACGGUCCAGACUCCUACGGGAGGCAGCAGUGAGGAAUAUUGCGCAAUGGGGGAAACCCUGACGCAGCAACGCCGCGUGGGUGAAGAAGGCCUUCGGGUCGUAAAGCCCUUUCGGACGGGACGAAGCUCCGCGGGGAUAAUCCGCGGAGUCUGACGGUACCGUAGGAAGAAGCACCGGCUAACUCCGUGCCAGCAGCCGCGGUAAUACGGAGGGUGCAAGCGUUGUUCGGAAUUACUGGGCGUAAAGCGCGUGUAGGCGGCCAGGUAAGUCAGAUGUGAAAGCCCUCGGCUUAACCGGGGAAGUGCAUCUGAAACUGCCUGGCUUGAGUACGGGAGAGGGAGGCGGAAUUCCCAGUGUAGAGGUGAAAUUCGUAGAUAUUGGGAGGAACACCGGUGGCGAAAGCGGCCUCCUGGACCGAUACUGACGCUGAGACGCGAAAGCGUGGGGAGCAAACAGGAUUAGAUACCCUAGUAGUCC